CACCGCGGUUAUACGAGAGGCCCAAGUUGAUAGACGUCGGCGUAAAGAGUGGUUAAGAACAUGUUAUACUAAAGCCGAAUACCCCCACAGCUGUUAUACGCACUCGGAGGUAAGAAGCCCAAUUACGAAAGUAGCUUUAUUAUACCUGAACCCACGAAAGCUAAGGCA
rnacentral:rRNA from 1 species